ACAGAUAUAACAGCUUUGAGAUGCAUUUGUAGAUAUUAUUACAUGUUUGACCGUCUUUAUGGUGCUAGCUUAAAGUUACGGUGUAAAGGUUAGCUUAUAGUGUAAUAAAGCGGUUACUGUUUAAACAAUGAUAGGACAGAAAUAUUAGCUUCUGUCAUGAGUAAUUAAGUUACUAGUUAAUAAAGUUACCAGUAAACAGAUUCCCAAUUAGCUUCAAUGCAUCUGUAAUAAAUAUGUGCAACUUUCAGUGCUUCGUUUAAACUGUAUGAUACUUAUACUGACCCAGGGUCAGUGUAAAACACAAUCCUAGCUGUCUGAACAAAGUCUGGCUCCUUUAAUCCUGCACGACAAACCUCAGGAUGCAGGUUCAUUGAGCCGCUUUCCUGCUGCCACACCUGAGAGGCAGCUGGAAACUUACAGUAACGUUUACAUCAUGCAAAGACUGCCAGACUCUGUAAUACUGUAGACGAUCAGGUUACCAAUAAACAUUAAAAGGUACCUCUCUGUCUGUGUGUCUGUGUUGAACCUUUUAUAAUCAAAUUUUAAGUCCGGCUGCAUUACGUUUUGGACUUUUCUCUUUUGAAGACACGUUGAAGAGCUCACAGAGAUUUGAAGUUGCAAAUUUAGGAGCAUAAGGCCCGAUGAUGGUGUGUAAUGCCUGUACUUACCUUCUGCACUGUGUUUUUGUUACUAAUUUAUGUUUGUUAUUGUUUAACACAGAUUUCAGAGGAGCACUUUUAAAGUAUCCUUAAUACUUUAAAGCAGAACUGGAUUGGAAAUCAAAAGCUCCUUAAAAGCUUUUUCUGUUCCCCGACCGUCAAAGCCAAACUUCAGCCAUGAGAGCUGACGGGAUAUGACUUUUUAAAAUCAGAAACAAAGGUACAGUGAAUGAUAUUAACGGCAGGGAAACAACACUGGGGGAAGACAAGAAGAAGUGUUUCCAGGAGGAAGCUGCAGUGAGGACACAGCCGCCUCACACUGAGGAGGCACUGAAAGGUUCCCUAACAGUUCCUGGUGAAUCACAGCAGAACCAUAAAGGUUGCUGGGCUGCAUGAUGGCCUUAGCCCUGAGAAGCCAUCCUGUUACAGGAGGAGCAAUUAGAAGCUGUUUUCAAAGUAGCUGAGCAGAUUUCAUCUCAAAUCAAAGUGAAUCGUGAUGUUUCCGCUUCCAUUUUGAUUCCAAGAAGAAGAAGAAUGCUUCAAAGAAGUGGCGUUCAUGGUCUCAGUCCACAGUGUGACAAUCGUGGUCACACACUGGAUGUGCUUUUUAAAACAACAUGUUUCUUCACUUCAAAAACUUUGACAUGUGUCUUUUUGUUUGGAUAUGUAUAAUAUUAGUGCAUGUUAGGGUUUGUUGCUGAAAAUUGUUCACUUCUGUUUUGUAUUUUCAUGAUCACUUACACCAAAGAUAUUGUUUUAAAAAGUUUUGUUUUCAGAGUCUUUCUUAUAAAAUCCUGAGCCUGUAGUUUUACAUGAAUGUUGCUUUUUCAUUUAUGAUCUUGUAAUGCUUACACUACACUGUGCACAUCUACAUUAGAGACAUCUUAGUUACCUAUUUGUGAGACUGGGCUGCUUGACUAUUAUUUGGAAGUGUAUGUAAAAAGCAUGAUAUCAUUUCUUUUUUAAUAUGAUGGACUGAACUCAGGAGGUAUCUGCUUUUGACCAUGCAAAGAUUGAUCUGAUCCCAUUUAUACCUGUAUCUACUAUUUCAAGAUUUAGCUGAAGUUUGCUCAACUUUAAUUGUCAGGAUACAUGUUUAUUCCAGCUCUCAUAGUGCAAAGCCAUGAGACAGACCUAUUAAACUCAAUGCACAAUGUAAAGUUCAUAAUUCUCUGACAAAUAAAACUGUAAUGGCAAA